CGAUGCGGAGCGAAAUUUAGUAGCGAAGUAGCUGAUUUCACACUGUCGAGAAAAGUCUCUAUCGAGGUUAAAGGUGCCUGUACCGCAAACCGACACAGGUGGGUGAGGAGAGUAUCCUAAGGCCAGCGAGAGAACUGUUGUUAAGGAACUCGGCAAAAUGACCCCGUAACUUAGGGAGAAGGGGUGCCUUCGAAAGAAGGCCGCAGAGAAUAGGCCCAAGCGACUGUUUACCAAAAACAUAGGUUUCUGCUAAGUCGCAAGACGAUGUAUAGGAGCUGACGCCUGCCCGGUGCUGGAAGGUUAAGGGGAUCUGUUAGAGCAAUCGAAGCAGUGAACUUAAGCCCCAGUAAACGGCGGCCGUAACAAUAACGGUCCUAAGGUAGCGAAAUUCCUUGUCGGGUAAGUUCCGACCCGCACGAAAGGCGUAACGAUUUGGGCACUGUCUCAACAACAGACUCGGUGAAAUUGUAAUACCGGUGAAGAUGCCGGUUACCUGCGACAGGACGGAAAGACCCCAUGGAGCUUUACUGUAGCUUGACAUUGAGUCUCGGUGCUACAUGUACAGGAUAGGUGGGAGACUAUGAAGCAUGGACGUCAGUCUGUGUGGAGUCAUCCUUGGGAUACCACCCUUGUAGUACUGGGAUUCUAACCAGAGGCCAUGAAUCUGGUCUUGGGACACUGUCAGGUGGACAGUUUGACUGGGGCGGUCGCCUCCCAAAAAGUAACGGAGGCGCUCAAAGGUUCUCUCAGUACGGUCGGAAAUCGUACGAAGAGUGUAAAGGCAAAAGAGAGCUUGAUUGCAAGACAUACAGGUCGAGCAAGGACGAAAGUCGGACUUAGUGAUCCGGUGGUUCCGCAUGGAAGGGCCAUCGCUCAACGGAUAGAAGCUACCCUGGGGAUAACAGGCUGAUCUCCCCCAAGAGUCCACAUCGGCGGGGAGGUUUGGCACCUCGAUGUCGGCUCAUCACAUCCUGGGGCUGUAGUAGGUCCCAAGGGUUGGGCUGUUCGCCCAUUAAAGUGGUACGCGAGCUGGGUUCAGAACGUCGUGAGACAGUUCGGUCCCUAUCCGUCGCAGGCGUAGGAAAUUUGAGGAGACCUGUCCUUAGUACGAGAGGACCGGGAUGGACGUACCGCUGGUGUACCAGUUGUUCUGCCAAGGGCAUGGCUGGGUAGCUAAGUACGGAAAGGAUAAGCGCUGAAAGCAUCUAAGCGCGAAGCC
rnacentral:rRNA from 1 species